rnacentral:lncRNA from 1 species
GUUGAAUAUUAUUUUUUUAAUAACUAAAUAUAAUUGACAUAAUAUAAUUACACAUUUAUAUUAAACUGAUAAGGACUGUUCUUUAUGCAUCUGCUGUAGCUGAAAACCUUAUCAGAUGAAACAAAACAUAUAUACAAAAAAGUGUCAGUUCAGUGUUGGACUGCAUACUUAACUUGUUACAUUGAAAGGAUGACAUUGAUUAUAGAUGUUUUAAUAUUGUUUUAUAUUCUGGCUGUAAACAUAUCUUUCAAGUGGCAUUUUGAGUACAAAUUGUGUCAUGUUAUUUAAUCAUUUAGAUAAAUAGUGAUCAGAAUACCACAAGUGAAAUUGGAAAAAAAAAAUCAGUUACACUGUUCAUAGUUUCUAUGUAAAAAUGAGUAAAAAAAGAAUAAACAGCUGCGCCAUGAGCGCAUGAUACGCCCGUCACAUUUUCUAAAAAUAAAGUUCAAUAACUUCUAAAUGUCAUAUCAGAAAUUUAUGAAUAAUUAAAGGGAGGUUAUCUUAAUAAAUAUUAACCAGGCACCAAAGUUUAAUGAAAACUGCUCAAAGCAAUAAAGGUAUUGUCCGAAAACUGGAAAAUCACCCUUUUUUUAAUGAAUAAAACCCCAUAACUCGGAAACAUAAAUCUGAAAUUUAUUAAAAUCGAAAGGGAGCUCACGUCAAUAGAUAUAAACAAUUCACCAAAGUUUCUUGCAAAUUGGUAAAAGCAUUUUUGAGUUAAUGUCCGACAUGUUGACGACAGACAGACGGACAGAUGGACGGACGGAAGGACAGACGGACAACGGUAUACCAAAUUUUAAGUUUGGUUCGACUGGUUGAACAGAUGAUUAUGAGAUUUACUUAUUAAAACAAUGAAAAAAGGAAAGAAAGGAAAUCAUAAAUCAAAUUCAGAGGUGAUAUUUCUUAAACUUUAUGAUUGUUUUACAUCAGCAACCCUUUACUAUAGUAAACACACUUUUAAAAGAUCUAUAAAAAAUGUCAACCUUUCAACACAAAUAAAAAUCUGUACCAAGUUAUGUUUGUGGUCUAACACUGAACUGACACUUUAUAAUUGUUUUACAUCAGCAACCCUUUACUAUAAAGUAAACACACGAUUAAAACAUCUAUAAACAAUGUCAACCUUUCAACACAAUUAAAAAUCCAACACUGAACUGAC